GCUUAGCCCUAAACCCUGACAGUCUCACAACAAACUGCUCGCCAGAGAACUACAAGCGAAAAGCUUAAAACUCAAAGGACUUGACGGUGCCCCACAUCAACCUAGAGGAGCCUGUCCUAUAAUCGAUAAUCCACGCUAUACCCAACCUGCUCUUGCCCCGCCGCCUAUAUACCGCCGCCCCAUCAGCCUACCUAACAACAGCCCCAUAGUAGGCAUAAUAGGCACCCCCUAAAACGCCAGGUCAAGGUGUAGCCAAUGAGCAGGCAGUGAUGGGCUACAUUUCCUACCACAGAACACACCACCAACACCAUGAAAAUGUGUUAACAAGGCGGAUUUAGCAGUAAACUGAGCAACGAGUGCCCAAUUGAAGCUAGCCCUGGGGUGCGU
rnacentral:rRNA from 1 species